rnacentral:rRNA from 1 species
UACAGAGGGGGCAAGCGUUGUUCGGAAUUACUGGGCGUAAAGGGCGCGUAGGCGGCCUUCUAAGUCGAACGUGAAAUCCCCGGGCUCAACCCGGGAACUGCGUCCGAUACUGGAAGGCUUGAAUCCGGGAGAGGGAUGUGGAAUUCCAGGUGUGGCGGUGAAAUGCGUAGAUAUCUGGAGGAACACCGGUGGCGAAGGCGACAUCCUGGACCGGUAUUGACGCUGAGGCGCGAAAGCCAGGGGAGCAAACGGG